AAGGCAGCUGACGUGUGUGGGCGGACCAGCCUGAAAAGCUACUCAACUGCGGCCAGGGCGAACGUGAGAGCGCGCGAAAACCGCGCUCGCGCCUCUUUCCUUGCAAGCAAGCAGGCGCCUCCUCCUCCUCCUCCAUUUUAUCCAUCCCUGUGGAGAAGCACAUGGCCAGAGAAGGCGGCCGGAGGCAGCAGCACCCGGUGCCAUUCGCCUUUCUCGAAGGGCUUAUAUUGGGGGAACAACUCAGCCGGCCUUGAGAGAGAGCGUCUUACAGUGGCGAAAUAUGUUGCCUUGCCGGGCUGGCUGCAGCAGGAAAGACUCCUACGACUCUAGCCACGCGUGGUGUCUAAAGCGUGGGCUGAAUUGGGGAGACUUGUGUGCGCGCGUGCUUGUUUUUAGAGCGCGGCUGCCCAAAAUAAGUUCCAUUAAACUGAAUGCUUCUUCUCAAGAAGCGCCUCUCUCCCGAAUUCUAGCACACUCAAGACGUGGGUUUGUAAUGCUCUGCACUGCAGCAGCUCCUCAGGAGGUCUUUGAACGCUUCCAGUAAAGAGAUUGGGCGCUGAGAGAACACGUCCUGGGCUAACUGUGCUCAGCCUUCGUUUAAACCAAGUAGUGUGCAGGGUUAACCUCCGCGCGGUCCUACACGCAUUGAUUGAAAAUGCAACAAACCAAUGGUUGCCAUAAAGCACACUGAACUAUUUCGAACGAGGUUUACUUAGAGGGUCCCUCCCACCGCUUUUAAUGGUGCCGAGUAACUUUGCACAGUGGUGCCGUCUCAGGCGGCAAUCUUCUGCCUACAUGCAUGUAGGGUCAACUGAAUACAGUGGAAUUUACACAGGAUUUGGCUGCAAUCCUAAAUGCACUUUUGUAAGUGGCCAACCGUAAAGCUUACUUUUGAGUUAAAAAAAAAUGCAUAUGGUGCUUCUGCACAGGAAUGUGGCAGAGAGCAAAAGGCACAUUAUUCGGCGUCUGCCUUUGUAAUCUGUCUCCCUCCCACUACUUUCCAAAAUUUAUUCCCAGCCGCUCUGGAGUCAGGGCUCCUAUGGGUACUUUCCCAACACCGCAAAACACUAAUCCGAUUUAAACCUAUAGCAAAAUAUACUUUUUGUUGUUUGUUUGAGUCAGAGAAGCUACCCUUAUUCUCCUUACAUGCCUUUCUUCCAUGCAAUCCCUCCUACGUAUGCUUACUCGGAAACAAGCCCCACUGAUUUAAAUGGAGCUUACUCCCAGGAAAGUGUCCAUAGGAUUACACCCUGGCUUCCCCUCCAUACACUAACCUGCAGACCGAAGGGAUCCAUGCUGAUCGCUAAGUUGCCACUCGGAGGGGCCGCAACAGCAGCAGCCUCUCUUAACUGGAUGGGGAACGAGAGAAAUAACACGCCGUAGACUCGCGCCAAAGCGUCUUGGAACUCGCCGGAGGCGGGGAUUGGCAAUAUUUUUCCCGCGAAGGUGUUGAAGUCCUGGAAGGCUCAGAAAUUACUCCGGCUCGGCACCUGGUUUUUCUGGGCGAUUUGAUCGGGAGUCAUACAUUCCUCUUGUAUACCCAAACCGAAUAGAAUAGGUAUACAGAAUACUUCCUGGAUGGGUUCCAAAGUCCACACAAGCUUAUGCUACAAUUCAUUUAUUCGUCUUGUUCUUGCCACAAGACUUCUUCUUGCUGCAGCAGACUGACAUGACUACAUCUCUGGAAGCUACUGCAAAAUAUAAUGCAAUUCCAUUCGUAACAAGCCAAAUGUGACACUGAAAAUCUACAUACUAAAGAGAUGUAAAGCCAGCACACUGACUUUAUGGAUGCAAAUAUAAUUACAGCUGUUCCAGCCUGGCUAGAGAAGGUGAAAUGGAAGCCACAUAGAAGAAGUGGGCAAAGUACGGAGAACUAAGGAGAGGCUUCUACUAGAAUCAUGACUCACAGUCACUAGACUGCUCCCAAACUGACUUUUUCCACGCUGCAGUGGCUUCAGUGAAUAAGAGCCACUGAUAUACCCACUGGGGCCAUUAAUUCCUGUUUGUAAGCACCUGAGGCUGGAGCAGAUACUUCACACCCAGUUAUGGUGGGGCGGGGUGGGGUCAGCCUGAUGAGCUUAUCACAAACAGCUUGGCUCAUUUAACUUCCGAGGGAACAAGACAGCUGAAAUAUAAGAACCAUGUUUCAGCUUCAUUGACUAGUGGAUCAAGAUUCACAAAGGGCAAAUUGGUUGCACAAAUAGCAUAUGCAAUACAGCAUAAGCCAUUACUGAAAAUGAUGUUCUUAAUGUGUGUGAGUAUGUUUUUAAUGGAAGAAAGAAGUUUGCAGUUACAGUUUUGAGACAAAUGUUUACAGGUGGAACUUUAAAAUAUAUAGUCUUGCCCCUCUUGAUUGUACAUAUCAGUGUUUCUCAACCUUUUUGGCGUCAGGGAACGGUACAUUAAUCAUGCGCAGUUUCCUGGACCACCAUCAGUUAGUAAGGGGGUCACCCCCAAACCCCACCCCAAGGCACCUCCCAAAAAACCAAUUCCGGGCAGUUCUCCGGAGUUCCUUUCCAGGCAGCCCUCGCUGCUGAAUAAUGUUCAUUUCGAGGAAGUGAAAUGAAUGUUAUCCAGCAGCAAGGGCUGUCUGGAAAUGAGCUCCAGGGAGCUCCCAAAGGUCCCCGCUGGCCCAAAAUUGGGGUUUUUUGGGGGGUGGGGUGAUUUUUUAUUAGUGAUGCCUCCAUGGACCGGUGGUUGAGAAACACUGGUACAUAUAAACAUGAAAAUGUGAUCACAGUGUGUCUCAAAGUUUGAAAAAGAACAUAUUUAAAAGCUGUACAACCCUUUCCCCCAGUGUAUAUAUUUUUAACCAAACUCUUUUAAAAUUGACAAUUUGCUUUGGGUUUUUUUUGAAGCUCAACAGCAACAGAAAAUUUUUAGAUAUGCAUACA